CAUUUGCUGCUGCUCCCAUCUGCUUGGUGUCACUGUCUGCGCAGUCCUCGCUGCAGAGGGAUCUCCAGACGCUUUCCCCUGCUCCUUCUCAUUUUCUUGAGCAAGUGGCUUUCCAACCGAAGCUUCGUGUGGGAGGCUUCAUGUUGCCAUCCAGAGUACAUGUCCCAGAUAUGUCCAGCCCCACCUUCUAGUGCAGAGGAGCUGCCGACAGAUGACAGUAGCUAUCCUCCUUCAAUAUUGAGGAAAAGGCCACCUGUGGACCAAGCUGUGGGGCAAAAGCGGAAAGCAGAGAGAAAGGUUCGAUUCCGUGAGCCAGAAGUCAUUGAAUAUGCCAUUUCCUGCUAUGACUACGUAGUGGUAGAUGACAGGUCAUCAUCUGGGUUGCCUGUGCUCCUGUGGCUCUCAUUUUGCGCAGUGCUGAUCCUUGCUGUGAGUCUGUACUACACCAGCAUGAAGAAAGAUGUCAAAGUCCUGGAGGAAUUUCAAUCCCAACUUGUUAUCUUCUUUCUUCAGAUAAGACACAUUGCUCAGAAAUGCUGGACUUGGUUUAUGAGACAGUAGCAAUGUCCUCUGGCCUGACAGACAUCUCAGAGCACUGCUAACCAGCACGCAGCAGCACAAAGCUCCCAGUCUACUCCAGCCGCGUGCGGGGAGCACGUGAGCAUCCACCCCAAACAGCAAGAAAACCACCCCUGUUGUGCACUGUCCAGCAGCCACUUGUUCUCUUUUUUCUUCUUUGUUCUUUUCAUAUUAGUGGGUGGUCAUACUAGCACCUAGAGGUCCCACCAAAUUCAUGCUCCAUCAUCCUGAACACCAAAGAAGUAUCUGAAUUUUGUCUCCCAAAGAGCUUACCAACUGCUGAUAUGAGGAGCAGAAGCAGAGAGAGAAAUACAUUGAUCUGUGCAAGCGGCAGCAAGCUCUGAAUAAAAGUCUCCUGAGUCUCAGGUCAAGGCUUUAAAUACCCAACCAUCUUUCUCCUCAAGUCUCCUAAGAGCUAUUCUGCAAAAGUUAAAUUAAAGCUGAGCUAUUGCACAAACACUGCUCUGGUGGCCAAAGGCUUGGGAAGCUGCUAUAUUUAUACACCUGAAAUGAUUAUUAGUAAAAACCCAGCAAACGGCUUUCUUGUUUCCCUUCAUGCAUUUCUUUCCUCCAUGGGCAAAAGCUGUUUCUUAAUGUUUCACUUGACUCCCAGGUGUGAAAAAGAACAUGAAAACUCAUUUAAACAGUAAAUAGUUUAUUUGCCUAACAUAAUAAAUAGCAGCAUUGAAUCCCAAUCUAAUUAUCAAAUCAGUAGUUUAAUCCUCUGGGUUUGAUCCAGUCCAUAAACCCCACUAGCUGAGCUUACAAGAUUUAUGAUAGUGCUUGUAUUCAGUCAGAGGUUAUGCUUUUAAGCCUGGGUGUUCAAGGCCUUAUAUAAAGGUAAUAUGGACUGUUUAUGAAGGUGUGGGAGGCAAAGGCCCUUUAUCCCUGCAUUGUCCCACCACAGUAUACACGUCUCUGAAGGGAAUCCUUUUAAUGGAGAUCAUGCAGUAAAUGUGGAAUGGUUCUCUGGGUGUCUGAGAGGAGAGCAAGUGAGUGCAAGCUUAUGAGCUUCAGCUAUGUUUUUUCCCUAGACAAAACCAACACAACCAGCUUUUUAGGCCUUAGAUUCUUGUCAAGUAGCACCUGCUGUGUGCUUGGGUUUAUUUGGUAUGAUAAGGUUGACAUCACCUGUAAGAGCUGAAGAAAAGGAAAAAGAAAAAAAAGAGAAAGAAAACUCUGCAAAGAAGGUGGAAGAGAUGCCUGCAAGACCUUGGCUCAAAUUCCCCUGCCAUUGCAACUCACCAAAAAGAAAAAAUGGUGCUUUAUUUUUAAAUUUUUUUUUUUUUUUUUAAAGAGGGGCAUACCUCUCUGCCCCUCCAACCUUCUUCCAAGCAGCCCAAAGACUUUAACCAGGCAGAGGAUAAGCAGAAGCAUAUGCAGCCUUCUCACAAAAGGAGAGUGGGCAGCAAGUUGAUUGAGAACAAGUCAAAAAUAAAUGCAGUUCAAGACAGAAAGAAGUGAUUUCAGUGGUUAUUCUCAUGCUCCUUCUAAGAUGUCAAAGGCCACAGCAAUUGCAUUCGACACGCUGCUGGUCUGGGAAGCAGAGCUUGCUGCAGGAGGAGUGUUUAGCUCAGGGGCUAUUUGUGCAAAACGCUUGGGUACCCCAGCUCUGAGGGUCUGGACUGACAUGUCCUCCCAGCACAUAGCAACUAGCCCCUUCAAAACAGGAGCCUUUUCUGAAGGGACAGUUCCCUCACUGCAAGCCAUGGCACAUUGCAACAAGAAAGCAAAGCCUGAACUGACAAGAACCGAGCAAUCUUAAGAGCAAGAGCAGUAGAGUGAACCCUUCUAGUAUGUUAGCAACCCAGUUUCAGUAAAUUUAAAACAAGCCAAAGGGUUAAGGUAAAAUAGGAACUCCUCUUAGGACUGUGAAGGAAAAUGCAGAGGCACUGUGAAGUCCAUAUGUGUGCUCACCUCCCAGCACAGCUCCCCAGGAGAUGGGCAUGGGACCACCUUUCCACCGGGUCUGCUUUAAAUGGAAAAUGGCCACAUUCUCCCUGCUGGGGUCCAACUUUAUCAGUGUGAGUGAGAACGGCUAUCACAUCUGGGCUGUCAGGGAAAUUAAGCAGAGUAAUGGCUAUUCUUGGCUUCUGCCUAGGCUCUGGUUGGGACAGUUUUGGACAUGGACAAAGGCAGCACUUGAGUUGUCUGUCUUGCCAUGGCCUUGCAAGGCCUCCCAGGUCAGGAUUGUUUGCUGUGGUGAGACAAAUACAUGGCAGGCUGCAGAAAGCCAAAAUAAAUUCGCUACAAAGCCAGAAUGUUUGAAAUAAAUAAAAGUUAAACCCCA